rnacentral:rRNA from 1 species
AACGAACGCUGGCGGCGUGCUUAACACAUGCAAGUCGAGCGCGAACGUCUCUUCGGAGACUAGUAGAGCGGCGCACGGGUGAGUUAACACGUGAGUAACCUACCUCCAGAUUCGGAAUAACCUCGGGAAACUGAAGCUAAUGCCGAAUAAGACCACGCUGUCACAGGGCGAAGUGGGAAAAGAGGGCUUCGGCUCUCGUCAGGAGAUGGGCUCGCGGUCCAUUAGCUAGAUGGUGAGGUAACGGCUCACCAUGGCUUUGAUGGAUAGCUGGUCUGAGAGGACGAUCAGCCACACUGGGACUGAGACACGGCCCAG